GUCUUUUUGAGUUAUUUUUAAAGUCUGACCUGCCCACUGAAUAUUUUUAAAUGGCCGCAGUAUUCUAACUGUGCAAAGGUAGCAUAAUCAUUAGUCUUUUAAUUGAAGGCUGGUAUGAACGGUUGGACGAAGUAUAAGCUGUUUCAUAUAAAAUUAUAUUAGAAUUUUAUAUUUUAGUUAAAAAGCUAAAAUGUUAUUAAAAGACGAGAAGACCCUAUAAAUCUUUAUAUUUAAUAUUAUUCAAAUUUUUUUGAUUAAUUUUAUUUUUAUAAUAUUAAAUAUUUUGUUGGGGUGAUAUUAAAAUUUAAUAAACUUUUAAUUUUGAAUUAGAACAUUAAUUUAUGAAUAGUUGAUCCAUUAUUAAUGAUUAUAAGAUUAAGUUACUUUAGGGAUAACAGCGUAAUUUUUUUUGAGAGUUCAUAUCGAUAAAAAAGUUUGCGACCUCGAUGUUGGAUUAAGAUAUAUAUUUAGGUGUAGCCGUUUAAAUAUUAAGUCUGUUCGACUUUUAAAUUCUUACAU
rnacentral:rRNA from 1 species